GCCUGGCUUGCUCAAUUGGUAGAGCGUAAGACUCCUGAUCUCAGGGUUGUGAGCUCAAGCCCCAUAUUAGGCA
rnacentral:tRNA from 1 species